rnacentral:rRNA from 1 species
AGCGAACGCUGGCGGCAGGCUUAACACAUGCAAGUCGAGCGGGCCCUUCGGGGUCAGCGGCGGACGGGUGAGUAACGCGUGGGAACGUGCCUUCUGGUCUGGAAUAACCCUGGGAAACUAGGGCUAAUACCGGAUACGCCCUUUUGGGGAAAGGUUUACUGCCGGAAGAUCGGCCCGCGUCUGAUUAGCUAGUUGGUGGGGUAACGGCCUACCAAGGCGACGAUCAGUAGCUGGUCUGAGAGGAUGAUCAGCCACACUGGGACUGAGACAUGGCCCAGACUCCUACGGGAGGCAGCAGUGGGGAAUAUUGGACAAUGGGCGCAAGCCUGAUCCAGCCAUGCCGCGUGAGUGAUGAAGGCCUUAGGGUUGUAAAGCUCUUUUAUCCGGGACGAUAAUGACGGUACCGGAGGAAUAAGCCCCGGCUAACUUCGUG